rnacentral:lncRNA from 1 species
GAAAAUUCUGCUGUCUUGUGGUUCUAGGCAUGGUUGGGAUGUGUUUGUUGCAUUUGUCCUUUUCUUCCCAAUUUCAAGCAAGCAAGCAUGGCCUUUUCCUGUUGGUUUUAGGCUGCUACUGAGGUUCUAAUUGACAGCAAAUGAGGUUUAAAUUUCUGUUUUAGAGAAGUACAAAGCAUGGUUCAAAUGCAAGUAUGGAUGGAUAUG